UACGGAGGGGGCUAGCGUUGUUCGGAAUUACUGGGCGUAAAGCGCACGUAGGCGGACGCUUAAGUCAGGGGUGAAAUCCCGGGGCUCAACCCCGGAACUGCCUUCGAUACUGGGUGUCUGGAGGUCGAGAGAGGUGAGUGGAAUUCCGAGUGUAGAGGUGAAAUUCGUAGAUAUUCGGAGGAACACCAGUGGCGAAGGCGGCUCACUGGCUCGAUACUGACGCUGAGGUGCGAAAGCGUGGGGAGCAAACAGG
rnacentral:rRNA from 1 species